rnacentral:rRNA from 1 species
GUGAGGAAUAUUGGUCAAUGGGCGCAAGCCUGAACCAGCCAUCCCGCGUGAAGGAUGAAGGCCUUAUGGGUUGUAAACUUCUUUUGUACCUGAAGAAACCCUUCUACGUGUAGGAGGUUGCCGGUAAGGUACGAAUAAGCAUCGGCUAACUCCGUGCCAGCAGCCGCGGUAAUACGGAGGAUGCAAGCGUUAUCCGGAUUUAUUGGGUUUAAAGGGUGCGCAGGUGGUUGAAUAAGUCAGUGGUGAAAGUCUGCCGCUUAACGGUAGGAUUGCCAUUGAUACUGUUUAACUUGAGUUUGGAUGAGGUAGGCGGAAUGUGUAGUGUAGCGGUGAAAUGCAUAGAUAUUACACAGAACACCGAUUGCGAAGGCAGCUUACUAAUCCACUACUGACACUGAGGCACGAAAGCGUGGGGAUCAAACAGGAUUAGAAACCCUAGUAGUCC